rnacentral:rRNA from 1 species
GAUGAACGCUGGCGGCGUGCCUAACACAUGCAAGUCGAACGGUAGCCUCUGGAUUCGUCUGGGGUGAGAGUGGCGAACGGGUGAGUAACACGUAGGUGACCUGCCCCAAAGAGGGGAAUAACCGCUGGAAACGGUGGCUAAUACCCCAUAUGCUCGGGAGUUCGGUCUUUCGAGUAAAGCUGAGGCGCUUUGGGAGGGGCCUGCGGCCCAUCAGGUAGUUGGCAGGGUAAUGGCCUACCAAGCCGAUGACGGUAGGGGCGUGAGAGCGUGAUCCCCCACACUGGCACUGAGAUACGGGCCAGACUCCUACGGGAGGCUG